rnacentral:rRNA from 1 species
UGCAAGUCGACGAUGNNCCCCAGCUUGCUGGGGGGAUUAGUGGCGAACGGGNGANUAACACGUGAGUAACCUGCCCUUAACUCUGGGAUAAGCCUGGGAAACUGGGUCUAAUACCGGAUAUGACUCCUCAUCGCAUGGUGGGGGGUGGAAAGCUUUAUUGUGGUUUUGGAUGGACUCGCGGCCUAUCAGCUUGUUGGUGAGGUAAUGGCUUACCAAGGCGACGACGGGUAGCCGGCCUGAGAGGGUGACCGGCCACACUGGGACUGAGACACGGCCCAGACUCCUACGGGAGGCAGCAGUGGGGAAUAUUGCACAAUGGGCGCAAGCCUGAUGCAGCGACGCCGCGUGAGGGAUGACGGCCUUCGGGUUGUAAACCUCUUUCAGUAGGGAAGAAGCGAAAGUGACGGUACCUGCAGAAGAAGCGCCGGCUAACUACGUGCCAGCAGCCGCGGUAAUACGUAGGGCGCAAGCGUUAUCCGGAAUUAUUGGGCGUAAAGAGCUCGUAGGCGGUUUGUCGCGUCUGCCGUGAAAGUCCGGGGCUCAACUCCGGAUCUGCGGUGGGUACGGGCAGACUAGAGUGAUGUAGGGGAGACUGGAAUUCCUGGUGUAGCGGUGAAAUGCGCANAUAUCNNNNGAACACCGAUGGCGAANNNAGGUCUCUGGGCNUUAACUGACGCUGAGNANCGAAAGCAUGGGGAGCGAACAGGAUUANAUACCCUGGUAGUCCAUGCCGUAAACGUUGGGCACUNNNGUGGGGGANNUUCCACGUUUUCCGCGCCGNANCUNACGCAUUNAGNGNCCCGCCUGGGGAGUA